GUGGUUCAUUGGUAGAAUUCUCACCUUUCAUGUGGGAGAUGUGGGUUCAAUUCCUACC
rnacentral:tRNA from 1 species